rnacentral:rRNA from 1 species
GAUGAACGCUGGCGGCGUGCUUAACACAUGCAAGUCGAACGGUGAAGGUGGGAGCUUGCUCCUACUGGAUCAGUGGCGAACGGGUGAGUAACACGUGAGCAAUCUGCCCCGAACUCUGGGAUAAGCACUGGAAACGGUGUCUAAUACCGGAUACGACGCGCGACGGCAUCGUCUGCGCGUGGAAAGAAUAUCGGUUCGGGAUGAGCUCGGGGCCUAUCAGCUUGUUGGUGAGGUAAUGGCUCACCAAGGCGACGACGGGUAGCCGGCCUGAGAGGGUGACCGGCCAGACGGGGACUGCGACACGGCCCAGACUCCUACGGGAGGCAGCAGUGGGGAAUAUUGCACAAUGGGCGCAAGGCUGAUGCAGCAACGCCGCGUGAGGGACGACGGCCUUCGGGUUGUAAACCUCUUUUAGUAGGGAAGGAGCGAAAGUGACGGUACCUGCAGAAAAAGCACCGGCUAACUACGUGCCAGCCGCCGCGGUAACAC